UUGGCAUGGUCGUUGGGGGAUGGGCUACAGACCAAGAGCCAGCCAGAUGCAGGCAGUGUGGACAGAGGUUUCCAAAGGGAAGUGAACCACAAAGAUCCUCUCAUUCUUGCACUAUCAACCCUCUACCCUGCAGGAACAGAAAUCUAAACACUUGGGAGUGGGAUGACUUAAAAGUUUCUGCAAGUUAAGCAGUUCACUUGGAAAUAAAUUGGUGAGUUUAUAGAGGAAGUAGAACAAUGUGUAUUCUGGAAAAAGAGAAAGACAGACAUCUUUCCACUUUGGUUACAUCUCAAUUCUCUUCGGUGAGAGGGAAACAGACUGCUUAAUUACCCACCACACAGGGCUGAUUAUAAAGCCCCUUGAGUCUCAGGAUGCUGGAACCCAGUUAAUGCUGAGAAAAAACCUGCUGGGCUUGAUGGAAGGCUAGAACCCAACUGAAAUUUGGCACCGUGGAUCCUGUUGUCCAUUGGGAAUUGUGUCGGCAGAACAAAAGCCAUUUACACAAAUGGGGAGGGAGUGCUGAGGAAACAGACUCAAGACAAACAAAAUGACUCUCUCCAUGAGUAUGACCUCUCAGAAGGGGUCUGACACAACACGGCCAAUAAUAAGACAAACGCAAAUUAAAACCACACCAAGGUAACUUUUUUCACUCAUUGUAUUGUCCUGAAUCCAAAAGUUUAACAACACACUGCUGGUGGGACUGGGAGGAGACAGACAUCCUCACAGCCCGCUGGUGGCAGCUCAGUGUAAUCCCUACGGAUGGCAACUUGGCAGUAUAUCAACAUACUGUGCACACAGCCCAUGAACCACUCACCCCUGCUUCUCAGAAUCUGCCUGUGGCAACACUUGCACAAAUGUAAAAUUAAGUCCACACGAGAUUCAUCACUGCAGCAUUGUUUAUGACAGCCACAAUACUGGAAAUGACCAUCAAUAGGUCAUUGUACUGAUAAAAUACACCCACCUAAGGGAAUGUGGGAAGAGAGAGUUUCCUCCUCUUUUAUUUCUGGAUAUAUAAAGUGUGAAAAAGUAAAUGAAAAGGCAAAGUACAGAACACUGUGUGUGUCUACAGCAAAAAAAAAAAAAAAAGCGUAUUUUUAUAAAUGCUUAAGGAAACUCUAUAAAAAACAUUAAUACCAUGAGUUGCUGGGGGUGAGGGGACUGGCAAGAUGGGGUGGGAUGCAAGUAAAAUUUUCUACUCACAUCUUUUUUGAUUUUGGAAUCAUAUGAAUGUCCUACCCAUAAGCAUCAUUUCAAAGGCAGACACCAGGAAACAAAACAAAACAAACAAGAGCAUACCUGGGCAACCCCUUCUUCCCAGCCUCGGAUCACCUCCUGCUUGCCUAGCAUAAACUUAAAGGGCUUGUUUCUGUCCCGGGAGGAAUCAAAUUUCUUUCCAUCUUCAAGCAUCCCUGUGAAAAAGGGCAGUUGUAACAUGAGCAACAAGGAGUGAUGACAUGAGGCGUGUAAGAAGCCAGCCGAGGAGUGCCCGUCCCGGAUGCCGGGCAUCAGGCCUGGCAGGGCUGCCCGAGGCCUGAGGAGGAGUGUGGUGUCCCGGGAGGAUUUCCUGGGUCUUCAGCGGGCCUCUAGAGUUGGGACAGUCCGUCUACCCCAGGGCUAUGUGUGUUCUUCCCAACUCCAAGCAGUGAGCUGACCACCAGAGGCAGGCAGCUGUCUACCUUGGGCUGAGAAUGGGUAAGUGUCCAUGCUCUAGACAUGAACUGUCAGCACACUCUGAGAUGAAGAAUAAUCAUGGGCCUGUUAAGGCACAUGUAAUGGCUGGCAGUCACAUAUGGUUCAGAAGCAACUGGCCUUCCUCAGUUCACCCAUCCCCUUUUACAGAAAUGCAGGUAGUAUCAGAACUAAACUGAACUGCAGGACGCCAGCUGGUGUCAGGGAAUCGGAGAAAUGGCAACAGAAAAGACACUGCAAACCUCUCCCUGGUGGCCUCUGGACAACUCCAGCUGAACUGAGAGCAGUGCGUCCAGUUGGGAGUCAGGGACUUUCCACACAUGAAUUUACUCAAUCCUCCCCCAGCACUGUCCCCAUUUCACAGAGGAAGGAAGUGAGAGAAGCAGAAGGAAGUGAAGCAACCUGCCAAAGUAGUCAGCUAGACUAUAAAUCCAAAAACCAUGUUCAUUCAACUACUCCAGUGCCCCAGGAGCCAGACAAACCACACUGGCAGCCUCUACCAAAAGGGGGACUUCUAGACAUGGAGAUGCCAGAGGGUGAGUGCACAAGACAGACACCUACCACUCCUCGUUCAAACAGGAUCAUCUGCAGUGGUUUCUCUGAAAGUCAGAGACAGCCGUCACUGAGGUCCUGAACUUUCAAAGCACCAUCCCAGACUGGAAGAGCCAAAUCUGAACAUGCCUCAACCCGAGCAAGAUUGUAUUCUGACUGCAAUGAAAGACCAAAGGGUCCUGAGGCAGACUCCCUACACUUCCCUCUUAUACCUGAUCAAAUGUGUUGCCAAGCUACCUCCAGAUGCUACACACACCCAUCCUACUUUACCUGAAGAUGAGCUGUUUCCCCUGAGAAGAAGACAUGAGCCUUGCUCCAGAACUUCAGACCAUUGUCACCAACUGUCCAUCUCACUUCCUUGCAGGAGAAAAUCUUAGGGAAGGAUGGGUGGUGGUGUUGCUAGUGGUGGGGUUCCUUAGGCCUGAGGAGGAGUUGUCUUAUAAUCUAAGCUGGAAAAGUAAACAACAUCCCCAGAGCUGAGCAAAAUCUCACACAACUGGCACGGGCUAUAGGAGUAAGAAUGGGCUAGAAGGAGGGCUUCCCCAGUGGUGAGGAAAAGACCACUUAUAUAUGGCUAUAAGUUGCAGGCCAGGGAAACAGGUGACACAGGGGAGGAUGCAGUGUUCAUUAAGAAGCAGAACUUAACAUGUGUAUGGUGUUUUCUGGAGUGGGAAUCGGGCUGGUCAGUGCUGAAUGCAGAACACGACAGAAGCUGUGACAUCAAAAUAGCUUUAGCCAACAUGGAGGAAUAGGGAUCAGAUUUACUCUGUGUGACCAAAUACAAAACAAAACAACAAUAAAGAAACCACAAAAACACAAAACAAAAACCUCCACCAUAAAAAGAGAGCGAGAGAGAAACAACCCUGACAAUAGCUAAAACGUUUUUAAGACACUGGACACAGCAAUGAAGGAGAGUGAUCCCUGAGGGGAAACUAAAAUGGCAAGCUCUAUGUCUGCCCAGCUUACACCCUUGGGCGUUUCCAGGGAGAGGGACCUGGAUGGAGCUCAAGGCAGCUCAGAGUCCAAAGGACACAAACCAGGAAGGAGAGAAGUGUAGAGUGAAAAAAUCCUCAGAGAUUUGCAGAGGGUCCCUCUUGAGUAUUCAGCAGAACACUGAUCAGCACGAGUUUGAGGAAACUACUUAAGGCCAGGAAAAGAACCAUCCAAAAGGUUUAGAAGGAAUAGUGCCCAGUGCUUACACAGAGUUUGGAAUAGUGACUGUCCCACUAGCCAGACUGGAGAAAAUCCUGGUUUAUGAGGCACUGAGUAGGACACCUCAAAGAUCUCAUCUCAGUAGCUGGGAAUCAUCAGCUCCAAACUGAGCACUGCUCCGGACCUACCUGACAAAUCAUAAAAGAGAUACCUAAAAGGACAAAAUGGUUUCCAAGUAACUUAAGUGCUUCCCAGUACAAAGCCCAAGAAGAUUUACAGGAAUAAAAAUAUCUAGCACCCCAAAAAGUAAAAUUCAUAAUGUCCAGCACCCAAAAUUACCAAGCAUGCAAACAAGAGGGAAAACACGACCCGCCAUGAGAAGACUAAUCAAUCAAUUGAAACCACUCCAAAACUGACAGAGAUGUUAGAAUUAGUAGAGGACAGAAAGAGUCAAACCAAACUUCUAGAUAUGAAAACUAUAUUGGGCUGGAACAACUGGAUGCCCACAGGUAAAAAGUAAAACCUUGAACCUAUACUUCACAUCAUGAUCAAACAUCAACCCAAAAUGGGUAAUUGACCUAAAUGUAAACAUAAACCCAUAAAACUUCUAGAAGACAACAUAGGGAAAUAAUCUUUAUGACUGUGAGACAAAGAUUUCUUAGAUAGGAGGCCAAAAAAGCACAAAAGAAUAAACUGAACUUCAUCAAAACUAAAAAUUUCUGCACUCUGAAAGGCACUUUUAAGUGAAUGAAAACUCAAGGCAGAUUAGGAGAAAAAUCUUCACAAAUCAUAGAUCCAAAAAAGAACUUGUGUCCAGAAUAUAUAAAGAACUCUUAAAUUUCAGCGGUAAGAAAACAAACAGCUCAAUUUAAAAAGGGCAAAGAUUUGAAUUGAUACUUUACUGAAAAAAAUAUACAGGUGGCAAGUAGGCACAUGAAAAGAUGCUCAAUAUGAUUAGUCACCAUAAAAAUGCAAAUUAAAACGGCUGGGAGAUAGGACUACUACUGAUUAGAAUGAGUACAAUUAAAAAGACUGAUCAUAUGCAGUGGUAAGGAUGUGGAGGAACUGGAAUUCUUACACACUGCACAUGGGAAUAUGAAAUGAAACGACCACUUUGGAAAACAGGUUGGCCAUCUAAGUUAAACAUACACCUCCCAUAUGACGGGGCCAUUCCAUUUAUCCUGGAUAAAUGACAGCCAUACAAAAAGACUUAUAUACAAAUGUCCAUAGCAAACUCACUUGGAAUAGCCAAAAACUGGAACAAUCCAAACCUCUGCCAACUGGUGAGUGGAUAAACAAGCACAUCCAUAUAAAAGGAAACUAUUCAGCAAUAAAAAAGAAUGAACUAUCGAUAACACGGAACAAAAAAAAUCUCAAAAUAAUUAUGCUGAAGCAAACGAAGCCAGACAUGGGUCUAUACACUGUACAAUUCCAUGUAUAUUAAAUUUUAGAAAAUACAAAUUCUGAUAGAAAAGCAUGCCACAGAUUGCUAGGGAUGGAAAGAGGAGGUUUUGAAGAAUAACAAAGAGACAUAUCAAAACUUAUGAAAUCAUACACAUUAAACACGAGCACAUACACAUUAAACACGAGCAGUCUACUGGAUGUCAAUUAUACCUCCACAAAACUGUUUUUUUUUUUUUUUAAGUGAAAAAAUUAAGAUUCACUAAAAUCCUACACAUGUUUACCUCCUAUAUCCAACCUGGCAGUGAGUAGCGAGGUACUUCCUCUGUAAAGGGAGGGAGCAAGUAAAGCAGGUGGCUGGUAAAGUCUCAGCCACUGCUCCCAUUUUUACUCUGGAUAUCUGUGUGCCAGGAUCUGGAGCCCUUGACCAAUGAAAGCACCUGCCAAGCUAGUGCCAUAAUUUCCUAGAGAAAGCAUGCUCUGAUGAGAGAAGGCAACUGAGGUUACAGUCAGAUAUGACAGCUGACACUCUAAGCUCCAGAGGCCACUAUUAGCAAAACCCAUCACCAGCAUGGGCCUCUCUUUGCAUUUCUGACUACAUACAAACCUAUGCCUCAUGACCCACAGGCUGCCCAGGACAGCUCUGCAUUCUCCAUUUCAAGAAUUAUUGUCUCUUUCAAAAAAAAAAAAAAAAAAAAGAAUUAUUGUCUCUCCUGAUUGAAGGCAGCUUGAGGUCACAAACCUGGCCUUCAGUCCUACGUCUCUGCUGCAGUAGGCUCAACCCCUGGUACCCUCCAGACCAGCAGCACCUUUAAGAGUGGUUUCGCCUGCACAAUCUUUAAGAACCAGCAGGACAAGCAUAAGGAAUCUUAUUUAGAAUCUCUUUCCUGUAUGGGAGGAAGACUCUGAGGGGUAAUCCCAGAAUGACAGCUUUUACUUUCAGCACCUUUAAAUUACUAAUCAGGGAGGGAAAAAAAUGCAAACAUUUGAGAGUCUCUGGUUAAAAGCACAAAGACCAUGAAAAGAGCAAACGCUAUGGUUGCAUGAGAGACCAGUAAAGCAGCCUUUGGCUGUUGAAAGCGUUGAUGUCACCUUCAUCUGAGUUUCCUCCCAAACAAUUCAGCUGUUCUUGGGGGGAAGAACCAGACUCAAAUCCUUAGAGAAGGAGCA